GGCUCGUUGGACUCUGUUCAUCAUUCUGAACUUUAUUCUAGGCUUAUUGUAGAUUGAAUAUUGAGAUAUUUUUCUCAACAACCUCCACAUCCUCCUGUAGCUUAGCAAGUCAUCGAUCGAGCUCUUGGGGCUUCUGAUCAUAGUCGUCCAAUCAAUGAAAAUUGUUAUGAUGUCGUGAGUGUCUCAAAGUCGAGUCUUCGUCAGAAGACCCCAAUAAGGACCAAUGGCAGUUCUCCUGCUUUGAACUUUG
rnacentral:lncRNA from 1 species